UACGUAGGGGGCAAGCGUUGUCCGGAAUCAUUGGGCGUAAAGAGCGCGUAGGCGGCCCAGUAAGUCCGCUCUGAAAGUCAGGGGCUCAACCCCUGAAUGCGGGUGGAUACUGCUGGGCUAGAGUCCGGAAGAGGCGAGUGGAAUUCCUGGUGUAGCGGUGAAAUGCGUAGAUAUCAGGAGGAACACCGGUGGUGUAGACGGCUUUCUGGACCGUAACUGACGCUGAAACACGAAAGCGUGGGUAGCAAACAGG
rnacentral:rRNA from 1 species